rnacentral:rRNA from 1 species
UGGGGAAUAUUGCACAAUGGGGGAAACCCUGAUGCAGCGACGCCGCGUGAAGGAAGAAGUAUUUCGGUAUGUAAACUUCUAUCAGCAGGGAAGAAAAUGACGGUACCUGACUAAGAAGCACCGGCUAAAUACGUGCCAGCAGCCGCGGUAAUACGUAUGGUGCAAGCGUUAUCCGGAUUUACUGGGUGUAAAGGGAGCGUAGACGGAGAGGCAAGUCUGAUGUGAAAACCCGGGGCUCAACCCCGGGACUGCAUUGGAAACUGUUUUUCUAGAGUGUCGGAGAGGCAAGUGGAAUUCCUAGUGUAGCGGUGAAAUGCGUAGAUAUUAGGAGGAACACCAGUGGCGAAGGCAGCAUGCCGGCUCCACACUGACGCUGAGGCACGAAAGCGUGGGUAUCGAACAGG